GUGCAGCAGGCGCGAAAACUUCACACUGUGCGAAAGCACGAUGAGGGAAUCCCAAGUGCUUGCACGUAAGUGUAAGCUGUUUCUCUGUCUAAAACGCAGAGAGAGUAAGGGCUGGGUAAGACGGGUGCCAGCCGCCGCGGUAAUACCUGCAGCUCAAGUGGUGACCGUUAUUAUUGGGCCUAAAACGUCCGUAGCCGGUUUAAUAAAUGCCUGGGUAAAUUGUGUAGCUUAACUAUACGAAUUCCGGGUAGACUGUUAAACUUGAGACCGGGAGAAGUUAGAGGUACUCCUGGGGUAGAGGUGAAAAUUCUGUAAUCCUAGGGGGACCACCAGUGGCGAAGGCGUCUAACUAGAACGGGUCUGACGGUGAGGGACGAAGCCCUGGGGCGCAAACGGGAUUAGAUACCCCGUAGU
rnacentral:rRNA from 1 species